UGGCCAAGUUGACUUUUAUUUAAAUACAGUUGAAGUUUUGCUCACUCCUUAAUAAGACAUGAGCCUCAAAACAAUAUUCUUUUUGUUCUUAUUGAUGUUUAAAGUCAUAGACUGCAGCUUCAAAUGCUAUUCCCCUUUUCAUUUCAAAUGCAAUUCGCGAAAAACAGAGUAGAAAAAGGGCAAAUUAUGUUGUAUUAACCUUCUUAAAAGGAAAGAAUAAUUCAUCGAUAAUCCAUUAGAAACGUCAUAAAAACCUAGUAAAAAAGCCCAUUUUAACUUUUUGUUAUAUUGCUUUGUAUUUUAUCAUCUCAGACAGUGAGACAUGCCCCUUAAACCAAAAUUAUUUUUCUUGUCUCUGCGCAGCCUGCGCAGAUCCUUUAGAAUAUUCAAGCCUUACAUUUAAGUCCCCAGACUGUAAAGACAAUCUCUAUUGCUGAAACUUUCUAUAUUAGCUUAAAGGACUAUACUUCAAGUAACCUGACUGUAAGGACCAUUGGUGUUGCAUCAGACUUCUUAAAAAGGAAGUCGUUGAGGCAGCUUCGAAAACUGAUUACGAUCAUGAUUACGAGUAUGACAAUGCCAAUGGAAAACCAGAACCCUUGGCUUGCUACCCGCAGUCAAAAUGUCUGGACCCAAAACAAUUUCCCUUAUGGGCAUACGAUUCCCCUGACUGUAAAGAUCAGUUUAAGAUCAGUUGAGCAGUUUAAUUUAAUGCAUAUCUAACUAUUUUAGUUUCGCAAAAUAAAAUAUUAUUAAUGGCGACAUAAAAAAAUAAUGAAAAUAUACUUAGUAUUAUGAGAAACCACAGAAAAAAUAACAAUUAAAUAACUAUUUGUUUCGAUUUCUUUUUAAAAAUUCAUUCUUAUAGAAAACCCAAGGUCUUAAAAGAAUAGAAAACAGCAUCGAUAAUCCAUUAGAAACGUCUUAAAAAUCUAGUUAAAUGGUCAAGUUGACUUUUAUUUAAAUGCAGUUGAAGUUUUUCUCACUCCUUAAUAAGACAUGGACCUCAAAACAAUAUUCUUAUUGUUCUUAUUGAUGUUUAAAGACAUAGACUGCCUCUUCAAUUGCGAUAUUUACUUUAAUUUCAAAUGCGUUAUAAAACGCCCUCAAAUACCUAAAAUACCUAGAAUACCUAGAAGACCUUAAUGAAUCUUAGCACUUUUAAAGUUUGUGUUUUUUGUAGAGACAUAUAAUAAAGACCAAACUUUAUCCAACCCAGUUUAAAAUUUAGCGAACCUCGCUUACUUUAAUAGGAACAUAAUAAAACAUAAAGACUUAAAAAUAAUAUAUAUAAAUAAACUAUAUAUAUAAAUAAAUAAUAUAUAUAAAUAACAAAGACUUGUUACGUUCCGUUUUCUUUUAGUUCCUGAAUAAAAAAGUCAUGGCCCUCAAACCAA